UACGUAGGGUGCAAGCGUUAAUCGGAAUUACUGGGCGUAAAGCGUGCGCAGGCGGUCCGUCGCGUCGUGCGUGAAAGACCCCGGCUCAACUGGGGGAUGUCGUGCGAUACGGGCGGACUGGAGGCCAGUAGGGGGAUGCGGAAUUCCGGGUGUAGUGGUGGAAUGCGUAGAGAUCCGGAGGAACACCAGCGGCGAAGGCGGCAUCCUGGACUGGUCCUGACACUCAGGAGCGAAAGCGUGGGGAGCGAUCCGG
rnacentral:rRNA from 1 species